GAUCAAUGAUGAAAAUAGCCAGAUCUGAGCAUUCAAAGACUAUGUCUAGUCUACCUAUGCAUGAUCUCUGUAGCUCUGAGA